rnacentral:rRNA from 1 species
UACGAGAGGCCCAAACGUUAUUCGGAUUUACUGGGCUUAAAGAGUUCGUAGGCCGCGCGGAAAGUAGGGUGUGAAAGCCCUCGGCUCAACCGAGGAACUGCGCUCUAAACUACCGUGCUUGAGGAACCUAGAGGUGAGCAGAACUGAUGGUGGAGCGGUGAAAUGCGUUGAUAUCAUCAGGAAUACCGGAGGCGAAGGCGGCUCACUGGGGGUUUUCUGACGCUGAGGAACGAAAGCCAGGGGAGCAAACGGG